rnacentral:rRNA from 1 species
AUUGAACGCUGGCGGCAGGCUUAACCCAUGCAAGUAGAACGAGUGGCGGACGGGUGCGUAAUGCUUGGGAAUCUCGCUUAUGGAGGGGGAUACCUACGGGAAACUGUAGCUAAUACCGCGUACCCUAAGCUGGGCCCAAGUGGGAUUAGGUAGUUGGUGAGGUAAAGGCUCACCAAGCCGACGAUCUCUAGAGGGUCUGAGAGGAGGACCAGCCACACUGGGACGGAGACACGGCCCAGACUCCUACGGGAGGCAGCAGUGGGGAAUAUUGCGCAUUGGGGGCAACCUGACGCAGCCAUGCCGCGUGAAUGAAGAAGGCCUUCGGGUUGUAAAGUUCUUUCGGUAGCGAGGCGUUAACUACAGAAGAAGCACCGGCUAACUCCGUGCCAGCAGCCGCGGUAAUAC